UUAAGUUGCAGGGUAUAGACCCGAAACCCGGUGAUCUAGCCAUGGGCAGGUUGAAGGUUGGGUAACACUAACUGGAGGACCGAACCGACUAAUGUUGAAAAAUUAGCGGAUGACUUGUGGCUGGGGGUGAAAGGCCAAUCAAACCGGGAGAUAGCUGGUUCUCCCCGAAAGCUAUUUAGGUAGCGCCUCGUGAAUUCAUCUCCGGGGGUAGAGCACUGUUUCGGCAAGGGGGUCAUCCCGACUUACCAACCCGAUGCAAACUGCGAAUACCGGAGAAUGUUAUCACGGGAGACACACGGCGGGUGCUAACGUCCGUCGUGAAGAGGGAAACAACCCAGACCGCCAGCUAAGGUCCCAAAGUCAUGGUUAAGUGGGAAACGAUGUGGGAAGGCCCAGACAGCCAGGAUGUUGGCUUAGAAGCAGCCAUCAUUUAAAGAAAGCGUAAUAGCUCACUGGUCGAGUCGGCCUGCGCGGAAGAUGUAACGGGGCUAAACCAUGCACCGAAGCUGCGGCAGCGACACUGUGUGUUGUUGGGUAGGGGAGCGUUCUGUAAGCCUGUGAAGGUGUGCUGUGAGGCAUGCUGGAGGUAUCAGAAGUGCGAAUGCUGACAUAAGUAACGAUAAAGCGGGUGAAAAGCCCGCUCGCCGGAAGACCAAGGGUUCCUGUCCAACGUUAAUCGGGGCAGGGUGAGUCGACCCCUAAGGCGAGGCCGAAAGGCGUAGUCGAUGGGAAACAGGUUAAUAUUCCUGUACUUGGUGUUACUGCGAAGGGGGGACGGAGAAGGCUAUGUUGGCCGGGCGACGGUUGUCCCGGUUUAAGCGUGUAGGCUGGUUUUCCAGGCAAAUCCGGAAAAUCAAGGCUGAGGCGUGAUGACGAGGCACUACGGUGCUGAAGCAACAAAUGCCCUGCUUCCAGGAAAAGCCUCUAAGCAUCAGGUAACAUCAAAUCGUACCCCAAACCGACACAGGUGGUCAGGUAGAGAAUACCAAGGCGCUUGAGAGAACUCGGGUGAAGGAACUAGGCAAAAUGGUGCCGUAACUUCGGGAGAAGGCACGCUGAUAUGUAGGUGAAGUCCCUCGCGGAUGGAGCUGAAAUCAGUCGAAGAUACCAGCUGGCUGCAACUGUUUAUUAAAAACACAGCACUGUGCAAACACGAAAGUGGACGUAUACGGUGUGACGCCUGCCCGGUGCCGGAAGGUUAAUUGAUGGGGUCAGCGCAAGCGAAGCUCUUGAUCGAAGCCCCGGUAAACGGCGGCCGUAACUAUAACGGUCCUAAGGUAGCGAAAUUCCUUGUCGGGUAAGUUCCGACCUGCACGAAUGGCGUAAUGAUGGCCAGGCUGUCUCCACCCGAGACUCAGUGAAAUUGAACUCGCUGUGAAGAUGCAGUGUACCCGCGGCAAGACGGAAAGACCCCGUGAACCUUUACUAUAGCUUGACACUGAACAUUGAGCCUUGAUGUGUAGGAUAGGUGGGAGGCUUUGAAGUGUGGACGCCAGUCUGCAUGGAGCCGACCUUGAAAUACCACCCUUUAAUGUUUGAUGUUCUAACGUGGACCCGUGAUCCGGGUUGCGGACAGUGUCUGGUGGGUAGUUUGACUGGGGCGGUCUCCUCCUAAAGAGUAACGGAGGAGCACGAAGGUUGGCUAAUCCUGGUCGGACAUCAGGAGGUUAGUGCAAUGGCAUAAGCCAGCUUGACUGCGAGCGUGACGGCGCGAGCAGGUGCGAAAGCAGGUCAUAGUGAUCCGGUGGUUCUGAAUGGAAGGGCCAUCGCUCAACGGAUAAAAGGUACUCCGGGGAUAACAGGCUGAUACCGCCCAAGAGUUCAUAUCGACGGCGGUGUUUGGCACCUCGAUGUCGGCUCAUCACAUCCUGGGGCUGAAGUAGGUCCCAAGGGUAUGGCUGUUCGCCAUUUAAAGUGGUACGCGAGCUGGGUUUAGAACGUCGUGAGACAGUUCGGUCCCUAUCUGCCGUGGGCGCUGGAGAACUGAGGGGGGCUGCUCCUAGUACGAGAGGACCGGAGUGGACGCAUCACUGGUGUUCGGGUUGUCAUGCCAAUGGCACUGCCCGGUAGCUAAAUGCGGAAGAGAUAAGUGCUGAAAGCAUCUAAGCACGAAACUUGCCCCGAGAUGAGUUCUCCCUGACCCUUUAAGGGUCCUGAAGGAACGUUGAAGACGACGACGUUGAUAGGCCGGGUGUGUAAGCGCAGCGAUGCGUUGAGCUAACCGGUACUAAUGAACCGUGAGGCUUAACCUU
rnacentral:rRNA from 1 species